GAUGAACGCUAGCGGGAGGCUUAACACAUGCAAGUCGAGGGGCAGCACGAGGUAGCAAUACUUUGGUGGCGACCGGCGCACGGGUGAGUAACGCGUAUGCAACCUACCCUGUACAGGGGGAUAACCCGGAGAAAUUCGGACUAAUACCCCAUAAAGAUAUUUAGAGGCAUCUUUGAAUAUUUAAAGUUCCGGCGGUACGGGAUGGGCAUGCGUAACAUUAGCUAGUUGGUAAGGUAACGGCUUACCAAGGCAACGAUGUUUAGGGGUCCUGAGAGGGUGCUCCCCCACACUGGUAAUGAGACACGGACCAGACUCCUACGGGAGGCAGCAGUGAGGAAUAUUGGUCAAUGGGCGCAAGCCUGAACCAGCCAUCCCGCGUGAAGGAAGAAUGCGCUAUGCGUUGUAAACUUCUUUUCCAGGGGAAUAAAAUUUUGUACGUGUACGGAAUUGAAGGUACCCUGGGAAUAAGCAUCGGCUAACUCCGUGCCAGCCGCCGCGGUAAAAC
rnacentral:rRNA from 1 species